rnacentral:rRNA from 1 species
AUUGAACGCUGGCGGCAGGCCUAACACAUGCAAGUCGAGCGAGCGGCGGACGGGUGAGUAAUGUAUGGGGAUCUGCCCGAUGGAGGGGGAUAACUCCGGGAACGGGUGGCUAAUACCGAAUACAAUGGGAUGACCCCAUAUGGAAUUAGCUAGAAGUGGGGGUAACGGCUCACCUAGCCGACGACCUCUAGCUGGUCUGAGAGGAUGAUCAGCAACACUGGGUCUGAGACACGGCCCAGACUCCUACGGGAGGCAGAAGUGGGGAAUAUUGCACAAUGGGCGCAAGCCUGAUGCAGCCAUGCCGCGUGUAUGAAGAAGGCCUUAGGGUUGUAAAGUACUUUCAGCGGGGAGGCGUUACCCGCAGAAGAAGCACAGGCUAACUCCGUGCCAGCAGCCGCGGUAAUUC